rnacentral:misc_RNA from 1 species
UCCACGUAUAUUAAUUUAUUAGAUACAGUAGUACAAACAACAAGGAGAAAAAUAGAAUCAUAAAAAACAAUCAACUGCAAUUAGAUCCACUGAGGCUAUUGGCAAAAGAUAACCCAUAAGCUGCAGACAGAUUACUAAACACUUAACAAGUUUGUCAUAACAAUGCACCAAUUCAAAGCAUAGCCAUGACCAUAUUAGGCAUUUCAAAAAAGAAACAGACACUAACUUGCG